AAGACAAGGCCGAGACCGCGUCCGCCCCGCAAGCACAGAGCCUCGCCUUCGCCGCUCCGCCGCCCGUUCACACCCGCCGCCAGCUCACCAUGGAUGAUGAUAUCGCCCUGCUCGUUGUCGACAAUGGCUCCGGCAUGUGCAAGGCCGGCUUCGCGGGCGACGAUGCUCCCCAGGCCGUCUUCCCCUCCAUCGUGGGGCGCCCCAGGCACCAGGGCGUGAUGGUGGGCAUGGGUCAGAAGGAUUCAUAUGUGGGCGACAAGGCCCAGAGCAAGAGAGGCAUCCUGACCCUGAAGUACCCCAUGGAGCACGGCAUCAUCACCAACUGGGGCGACAUGGAGAAGAUCUGGCACCACACCUUCUACAAUGAGCUGCAUGUGGCUCCUGAGGAGCACCCCGUGCUGCUGACCGAGGCCCCCCUGAACCCCAAGGCCAACCGCGAGAAGAUGACCCAGAUCAUAUUUGAGACCUUCAACACCCCAGCCAUGUACGUGGCCAUCAAGGCUGUGCUGUCCCUGUACGCCUCUGGCCGUACCACUGGCAUCGUGAUGGACUCCGGUGACGGGGUCACCCACACUGUGCCCAUUUACGAGGGGUAUGCCCUCGCCCACGCCAUCCUGUGUCUGGACCUGGCUGGCCGGGACCUGACUGACUACCUCAUGAAGAUCCUCAUUGAGCGCGGCUACAGCUUCACCACCACGGCCCAGCGGGAAAUCGUGCGUGACAUUAAGGAGAAGCUGUGCUAUGUCGCCCUGGACUUCGAGCAGGAGAUGGCCACGGCGGCUUCCAGCUCCUCCCUGGAGAAGAGCUACGAGCUGCCCGAUGGCCAGGUCAUCACCAUUGGCAACGAGCGGUUCCGCUGCUCUGGAAGGAAGGUUCCAACCUUCCUUCCUGGGCAUGGAGUCCUGUGGCAUCCACGAAGCUACCUUCAACUCCAUCAUGAAGUGUGACGUGGACAUCCGUAAAGACCUGUAGGCCAACACAGUGCUGUCUGGUGGCACCACCAUGUACCCUGGCAUUGCCGACAGGAUGCAGAAGGAGAUUACUACCCUGGCGCCCAGCACGAUGAAGAUCAAGAUCAUUGCUCCUCCUGAGCGCAGGUACUCUGUGUGGAUGGGCGGCUCCAUCCUGGCCUCGCUGUCCACCUUCCAGCAGAUGUGGAUCAGCAGGCAGGAGUAUGAGGAGUCUGGCCCCUCCAUCCUCCACCACAAAUGCUUCUAGGCGGACUUAGUCGCGUUACACCCUUUCUUGACAAAACCUAACUUGCGCAGAAAACAAGAUGAGA